rnacentral:rRNA from 1 species
GAUGAACGCUGGCGGCGUGCUUAACACAUGCAAGUCGAACGGAGUACCCUAGAAAGAGGCUUCGGCCAAUGGAAAGGGCUACUCAGUGGCGGACGGGUGAGUAACGCGUGAGGAACCUGCCUUGGAGUGGGGAAUAACAGUCCGAAAGGAUUGCUAAUACCGCAUAAUGUAGCAGACCGGCAUCGGUUUGCUGCCAAAGAUUUAUUGCUCUGAGAUGGACUCGCGUCUGAUUAGCUAGUAGGCGGGGUAAUGGCCCACCUAGGCGACGAUCAGUAGCCGGACUGAGAGGUUGACCGGCCACAUUGGGACUGAGAUACGGCCCAGACUCCUACGGGAGGCAGCAGUGGGGAAUAUUGGGCAAUGGGCGCAAGCCUGACCCAGCAACGCCGCGUGAAGGAAGAAGGCUUUCGGGUUGUAAACUUCUUUUAAGAGGGACGAAACAAAUGACGGUACCUCUUGAAUAAGCCACGGCUAACUACGUG